rnacentral:rRNA from 1 species
UACGGGGGGGGCAAGCGUCGUUCGGAAUUACUGGGCGUAAAGGGCGCGUAGGCGGCCUGCUAAGUCGGAUGUGAAAUCCCUCAGCUCAACCGAGGAACUGCAUCCGAUACUGGCGGGCUUGAAUCCGGGAGAGGGAUGUGGAAUUCCAGGUGUAGCGGUGAAAUGCGUAGAUAUCUGGAGGAACACCGGUGGCGAAGGCGGCAUCCUGGACCGGUAUUGACGCUGAGGCGCGAAAGCGUGGGGAGCGAUCCGG